rnacentral:rRNA from 1 species
UUGGAGGGCAAGUCUGGUGCCAGCAGCCGCGGUAAUUCCAGCUCCAAUAGCGUAUAUUAAAGUUGUUGCAGUUAAAAAGCUCGUAGUUGAAUUUCGGGAUCAGAGUGUCGGUCGUGCCUCGGUACGUACUGGUAUUAUUGGUUCCUACCCUCUGAAGAACCGCGAUGUCAUUAAUUUGGUGUCGUGGGGAAUCAGGACUGUUACUUUGAAAAAAUUAGAGUGUUUAAAGCAGGCUUACGCUUGAAUACAUUAGCAUGGAAUAAUGAGAUAGGACGUUUGAUUCUAUUUUGUUGGUUUCUAGGAUUGACGUAAUGAUUAAUAGGGAUAGUUGGGGGCAUUAGUAUUCAAUUGUCAGAGGUGAAAUUCUUGGAUUUAUUGAAGACUAACUACUGCGAAAGCAUUUGCCAAGGAUGUUUUCAUUAAUCAAGUACGAAAGUUAGGGGAUCGAAGACGAUCAGAUACCGUCGUAGUCUUAACCAUAAACUAUGCCGAUUAGGGAUCGGAUGAUGUUAAUUUUUCAAUGACUCAUUCGGCGCCUUACGGGAAACCAAAGUGUUUGGGUUC